rnacentral:rRNA from 1 species
GACGAACGCUGGCGGCGUGCUUAACACAUGCAAGUCGAACGGAAAGGCCCUGCUGUGGGGUGGUGCGCGAGUGGCGAACGGGUGAUUAACACGUGAGUAACCUGCCCUUGACGUUAGGAUAACUUCAGGAAACUUGGGCUAAUACCGGAUAUGAGCUCCUGCUGCAUGGUGGGGGUUGGAAAGUUUCGGCGGGUGGGGAUGGACUCGCGGCUUAUCAGCUUGUUGGUGGGGUAGUUGCUUACCAAGGCUUUGACCGGUAGGCGGCCUGAGAGGGUGACCGGCCACAUUGGGCCUGAGAUACGGCCCAGACUCCUACGGGAGGCAGCAGUGGGGAAUAUUGCACAAUGGGCGGAAGCCUGAUGCAGCAACGCCGCGUGUGGGAUGACGGCCUUGGAGGUGUAAAACGCUUUCGCCUGUGACGAAGCGUGAGUGACGGUAAUGGGUAAAGAAGCACCGGCUAACUACGUG